CAGCCGCCGCGGUAAUACCGGCGGCCCGAGUGGUGGCCGCUAUUAUUGGGCCUAAAGCGUCCGUAGCCGGGCCCGUAAGUCCCUGGCGAAAUCCCACGGCUCAACCGUGGGGCUUGCUGGGGAUACUGCGGGCCUUGGGACCGGGAGAGGCGGGGGGGACCCCUGGGGGAGGGGGGAAAUCCUAUAAUCCCAGGGGGCCCGCCAGUGGCGAAGGCGCCCCGCUGGAACGGGUCCGACGGUGAGGGACGAAGGCCAGGGGAGCAAACCGGAUUAGAUACCCGGGUAGUCCUGGCUGUAAAGGAUGCGGGCUAGGUGUCGGGUGAGCUUCGGGCUCGCCCGGUGCCGUAGGGAAGCCGUUAAGCCCGCCGCCUGGGGAGUACGGCCGCAAGGCUGAAACUUAAAGGAAUUGGCGGG
rnacentral:rRNA from 1 species